UCGAACGAUGAACCUCCUUCGGGAGGGGAUUAGUGGCGAACGGGUGAGUAACACGUGGGCAAUCUGCCCUUCACUCUGGGACAAGCCCUGGAAACGGGGUCUAAUACCGGAUACGACCACCGACCGCAUGGUCUGGUGGUGGAAAGCUCCGGCGGUGAAGGAUGAGCCCGCGGCCUAUCAGCUUGUUGGUGGGGUGAUGGCCUACCAAGGCGACGACGGGUAGCCGGCCUGAGAGGGCGACCGGCCACACUGGGACUGAGACACGGCCCAGACUCCUACGGGAGGCAGCAGUGGGGAAUAUUGCACAAUGGGCGAAAGCCUGAUGCAGCGACGCCGCGUGAGGGAUGACGGCCUUCGGGUUGUAAACCUCUUUCAGCAGGGAAGAAGCGAAAGUGACGGUACCUGCAGAAGAAGCGCCGGCUAACUACGUGCCAGCAGCCGCGGUAAUACGUAGGGCGCAAGCGUUGUCCGGAAUUAUUGGGCGUAAAGAGCUCGUAGGCGGCUUGUCACGUCGGAUGUGAAAGCCCGGGGCUUAACCCCGGGUCUGCAUUCGAUACGGGCAGGCUAGAGUUCGGUAGGGGAGAUCGGAAUUCCUGGUGUAGCGGUGAAAUGCGCAGAUAUCAGGAGGAACACCGGUGGCGAAGGCGGAUCUCUGGGCCGAUACUGACGCUGAGGAGCGAAAGCGUGGGGAGCGAACAGGAU
rnacentral:rRNA from 2 species